rnacentral:sRNA from 1 species
ACUCAGCCUGGGCGCGCGCCUUCGGGUCGCGGGUGCACUCCGGCCCCGCUCCUGCCCCGGCCCCGAUGGACGCCGCGCUCCUCCUCAUCCUCGGGCUGUUGGCCCAGAGCCUCUGCCUGUCUUUGGGGGUUCCUGGAUGGAGGAGGCCCACCACCCUAUACCCCUGGCGCCGGGCGCCUGCCCCAAGCCGUGUGCGGAGGGCCUGGGUCAUCCCCCCGAUCAGCGUAUCCGAGAACCACAAGCGUCUCCCCUACCCUCUGGUUCAGAGCGAGACGCCAUCUCAAAAGGAAAAAAAAUAAGAAAAGUAAUUUUGUACCAGAUGUGGGGAAAGGACGCUUCCUGCCUUUGCCUCUGCAGGAAGCAAAAUUUCCUUUUAUUUGCCCCGAAUCUUCCUUUAGACUUUGAGAACAAGUCCUUGGAUCCCUUACAUCAAAAGUUAUUACAGAGUAUUUCUCACUUGGAAACUGUAAUUGUGCCCGUUCUCCAAAAGGAUGGGAGGCAGUUUAAAAUGUCAUGCGCACAGGGGAAUUAAACUUCAAGAGGAGGCCGGGCACGGUGGCUCACACCUGUAAUCCCAGCACUUUGGGAGGCCGAGGCGUAUCACCUGAGGUCAGGAGUUCGAGACCAGCCUGGCUAACAUGACGAAACCUCAUUUCUACUAAAAAUACAAAAAAUUAGCUGGGCGUGGUGGCGGGUGCCUGUAAUCCCAGCUACUUGGGAGGCUGAGGCAGGAGAAUCGCUUGAACCCGGGAGGCAGAGGUUGCAGUGAGCUGAGAUCGCGCCAUUGCACUCCAGCCUGGGCAACAAGAGUGAAACUCUAUCUCAAAAAAAAAAAACAACUUCAGGAGGAACGAAGACCAUAGAAAGAAAGGGAGAGAGAUUAGGAACCCUCUGAGAGCCUUACUUUAGUCACACAUGAAGCAGCUGUGAGCUUCCUGGCUGCCAAGGCAAGCAGGGAAAGUGGCACCUGCCCUGUCUGCUAAGGGAAGGUGGCUCCCAUUCAGGGACGUCCUCAGCUGCUGUGACAGAUGCCCCACCCUGUGCUGUUUCUCGCCUGUUUAAGUUGGUGUUUCCAGCUGGAGACAAAGCCUGAACGUGCUGUCUCUUUCGCAUGUGGCCUUAACGGGAGCUACAGAAAUUUGGGGGCCACAGAGCCAGCCCUUGCUCUGUGUUUGAACAGCUAAGAGCGUUUGCCCUGGACCUGGGAGGAUCCACCCUGGAGGACCCCACGGACCUGG